CCCAGAUGGCUUUCUUGGUUGUUGAGAAGGUAUUAUUAUCGGUUGUCAGCCCCUUUGUCUCUGGUCAUCCCUGUUUCUGGAAACACAGCUUGACCCAGUGGUAUCUUCUGCAAACAGGUCCAGACGACCAGAGAGGCUGUAGGAGCUGACAACUGGGCCUCCCGGCUCCACUCCCAAGAACAGACCUCACUGGAAGCAGUUCGUUGAGAUUGUCCUAGUGUCUUGUUUCCCGCAUGACCACCUGGAAGACCAGGGACUCCAUAGCAGCCUGGGGCCCAAGCUGAAGCUCACUGGAGGGUGGACCAAAGAGCAGUGCAAGGACCCAAGUACAGGUAGGGGCAGCGCAGGGUGAAGAAUCAAACAAAGCAGAAAUCCUCCUCAGGAGAAGGGAAAAGAUCUUCCAAUGCCACUGGCCUGGCAACCAUCCAUCAAGAAGUCUGCCAGACCCAGCAAGAGUCUUGCCCAAGGAUGCCCAUUCACCAGCCAGAAGUCUCACUGGUAUGUCAUUCGCACUACUGUUCAGUGGGUUUGGAAGCAAAACUACUCACAGUUGACCUUCACACGCGACAGUGGGUCUCUCAAGGAUCUCAAUUCCCAAGGACCAUCACCUAAAUCCCUUCAGAUGACCAGAAUUGCUAGAAAUAUAUUCAAGAAAGGAGGGAGAUUGAGAAGUAUGGGAGUGCUGCCUUGCAUUCUAUCACCAGAAAAAUCAAUACAACAAUCUGAAUAAAGUUAAGGAAG